AUUGAACGCUGGCGGCAGGCCUAACACAUGCAAGUCGAGCGGAUGAAGGGAGCUUGCUCCUGGAUUCAGCGGCGGACGGGUGAGUAAUGCCUAGGAAUCUGCCUGGUAGUGGGGGAUAACGUCCGGAAACGGGCGCUAAUACCGCAUACGUCCUGAGGGAGAAAGUGGGGGAUCUUCGGACCUCACGCUAUCAGAUGAGCCUAGGUCGGAUUAGCUAGUUGGUGGGGUAAAGGCCUACCAAGGCGACGAUCCGUAACUGGUCUGAGAGGAUGAUCAGUCACACUGGAACUGAGACACGGUCCAGACUCCUACGGGAGGCAGCAGUGGGGAAUAUUGGACAAAGGGCGAAAGCCUGAUCCAGCCAUGCCGCGUGUGUGAAGAAGGUCUUCGGAUUGUAAAGAACUUUAAGUUGGGAGGAAGGGCAGUAAGUUAAUACCUUGCUGUUUUGACGGUACCAACAGAAUAAGCACCGGCUAACUUCGUG
rnacentral:rRNA from 1 species